CGAAGGGUGCAAGCGUUACUCGGAAUUACUGGGCGUAAAGCGUGCGUAGGUGGUUUGUUAAGUCUGAUGUGAAAGCCCUGGGCGUCAACCUGGGAAGUUGCAUUGGAUACUGGCAGGCUAGAGUGCGGUAGAGGAUGGCGGAAUUCCCGGUGUAGCAGUGAAAUGCGUAGAGAUCGGGAGGAACAUCCGUGGCGAAGGCGGCCAUCUGGACCAGCACUGACACUGAGGCACGAAAGCGUGGGGAGCAAACAGGAUU
rnacentral:rRNA from 1 species